UACGGAGGGAGCUAGCGUUGUUCGGAAAUACUGGGCGUAAAGCGCACGUAGGCGGCGCAGCAAGUCAGGGGUGAAAUCCCGGGGCUCAACCCCGGAACUGCCUUUGAAACUGCAGUGCUAGAAUCUUGGAGAGGCAAGUGGAAUUCCGAGUGUAGAGGUGAAAUUCGUAGAUAUUCGGAAGAACACCAGUGGCGAAGGCGACUCGCUGGACAAGUAUUGACGCUGAGGUGCGAAAGCGUGGGGAGCAAACAGGG
rnacentral:rRNA from 1 species